rnacentral:rRNA from 1 species
UGGCGGCGUGCCUAAUACAUGCAAGUCGAGCGAGCAGAACCAGCAGAUUUACUUCGGUAAUGACGCUGGGGACGCGAGCGGCGGAUGGGUGAGUAACACGUGGGGAACCUGCCCCAUAGUCUGGGAUACCACUUGGAAACAGGUGCUAAUACCGGAUAAGAAAGCAGAUCGCAUGAUCAGCUUAUAAAAGGCGGCGUAAGCUGUCGCUAUGGGAUGGCCCCGCGGUGCAUUAGCUAGUUGGUAAGGUAACGGCUUACCAAGGCAAUGAUGCAUAGCCGAGUUGAGAGACUGAUCGGCCACAUUGGGACUGAGACACGGCCCAAACUCCUACGGGAGGCAGCAGUAGGGAAUCUUCCACAAUGGACGCAAGUCUGAUGGAGCAACGCCGCGUGAGUGAAGAAGGUUUUCGGAUCGUAAAGCUCUGUUGUUGGUGAAGAAGGAUAGAGGUAGUAACUGGCCUUUAUUUGACGGUAAUCAACCAGAAAGUCACGGCUAACUACGUGCCAGCAGCCGCGGUAAUACGUAGGUGGCAAGCGUUGUCCGGAUUUAUUGGGCGUAAAGCGAGCGCAGGCGGAAGAAUAAGUCUGAUGUGAAAGCCCUCGGCUUAACCGAGGAACUGCAUCGGAAACUGUUUUUCUUGAGUGCAGAAGAGGAGAGUGGAAUUCCAUGUGUAGCGGUGGAAUGCGUAGAUAUAUGGAAGAACACCAGUGGCGAAGGCGACUCUCUGGUCUGCAACUGAC